AUGAAUAUGUGAUAACGCCAUACCCCACUCUUCUCCGGCCCAGCUUAGCUGCGAUGCGAUGUCGUCUCGGCAUAGCACUGCCGCCUAAAUCCUCACCUUCUGCAAAUUCUCUAAAUCUCACACCACUAUCUGAAUAAUUUAUCCUCUUUCCACUAUGGAUCAACUCAAUCCCAACUCGCUUUUUCUGCCCGCGCCUGAUGCGUGCGUCCCGCCGACUGGCCCGACUCGCCCCAAUCCCGAUUGUAGAAUGGAACCAGAAACAAAGGACACUGUAAGUGCUCGGAGAGUUCAAAAAGCUGAUCGUGAGAAGUUGAGGAGGGAUCGUCUCAAUGAACAAUUCAUGGAGCUGGGGAACGCCCUCGAUCCCGAUAGACCUAAAAAUGACAAAGCCUCUAUUCUUUCGGAUACGAUUCAAAUGCUCAAGGAUUUGACUGCUCAGGUUGAAAAACUAAAAUCUGAGUAUGCUGCACUCACUGAUGAGUCACGUGAGCUGACCCAGGAAAAGAAUGAUCUCAGAGAAGAAAAAGCAUCUCUUAAAUCCGAUAUUGAGAACCUUAAUGGUCAGUACCUACAGAGAGUGAGGGCCAUGUAUCCGUGGGCUGGAAUGGAUCAUUCUGUUGUCAUGCAUCCCUCAUCUUAUCCCUUUCCAAUGCCCGUCCCUGUGCCAACUGGACCUAUUCCCCUGCAUCCAUCCUUGCAGCCUUAUCCUUUCUAUGGGAACCAAAACCCUGCAGUUGUUCCUAAUCCUUGUUCUACGUAUGUUCCUUAUAUGACCCAUAAUCCAAUGAUUGAACAACAAUCAACACAACAUGUCUCACAAGUCAUGCAGCAAGGUACCAGGCCUCAUGCUUCAACCAAACAAGACCCUAGAAAUAAAUCAUCAGAUGUCGAGAGUAGAAUAGAGAAGAGUGAUGACUCAAAUGACAUCACAACAGAUCUCGAGCUUAAAACACCUGGAUCAACAUCCGAACAGGAUUCAUCCUCGAAGCAAAGAAGAGCAAAAAGGGUUGUGAGGAAGGAAACAAGCGUUACAGAUGGAACUUCUUCUAGUGGAUGUUCAUCAUCUCACAGCAUGCAGGCUAUCUCAUCUAACAGUAUUGCCGGUGGCAAAAGAACAGACGACUGACUAAAGGAAGGGGAAGUACACUUAUCAAUACAACUUUUGUGUUCAUACUAAUUUUUGUAUCUUUCUCUGUCAUCAUUUUACCAUACAUGUCAUGGUUAAUGCUCAUGUCAUGGCUGGGACGAGCACCGUAUUUAUGUCAAAAUUAACCAUUUCUUACUCUGUUAGCAUCUAAGCUACUUACUCCCCAAGCCAAGCCAAGCCGAGCCAUUGUGGUUAGUCCCAUCACUUUGUUAUGAUUAAGGUGGAAAAGCUCGCAAUACUUGGUUUGGUUCAAUGGUGAUAACAUUUCAAGUCUCAGAAAAAGGAUGCUCAUUUUCAGUUGUUGGCCCUGAUCUACAUUUGCAUCAACGUGGUAUCACUGUGUUCACAAAUAGAUCUCUGUGCAUCUCCAAAAGUAUUUUACUGAAUAUUCUGUUUCAUUUGUUUAAUCUUCAUAAUUUUUGCUUGGGUUUUAGUAAUUCCAUGUAAUUUAGUUGUUGGUGUAAUUUUAUAUUUCAACAUUUUAUAGUGUCAUUUUUGUAAUCUUUAUAAUCUAUGUGUAGUGUUUUAAAUUUCCUAGAA